rnacentral:rRNA from 1 species
UACAGAGGGUGCGAGCGUUGUCCGGAAUCACUGGGCGUAAAGGGCGCGUAGGUGGUGGCUUAAGCGUGCGGUGAAAGCUCGGGGCUCAACUCCGAGUCGGCCGUGCGAACUGGGCUCACUGGAGCAUAGUAGAGGCAGGUGGAAUUCCGGGUGUAGCGGUGGAAUGCGUAGAGAUCCGGAAGAACACCGGUGGCGAAGGCGGCCUGCGUGGGCAGUGAGCUGACACUGAGGCGCGACAGCGUGGGGAGCAAACAGG